rnacentral:rRNA from 1 species
UACGUAGGGGGCAAGCGUUGUCCGGAAUCAUUGGGCGUAAAGAGCGUGUAGGCGGCCCGAUAAGUCCGCCGUGAAAGUCCAGGGCUCAACCCUGGAAUGCCGGUGGAAACUGUCGGGCUGGAGUCCGGAAGAGGCGAGUGGAAUUCCUGGUGUAGCGGUGAAAUGCGCAGAUAUCAGGAGGAACACCAAUUGCGAAGGCAGCUCGCUGGGACGUAACUGACGCUGGAGACGCGAAAGCGUGGGGAGCAAACAGG